rnacentral:rRNA from 1 species
GACGAACGCUGGCGGCGUGCCUAAUACAUGCAAGUCGAACGCAGUGGGGACGGGUGAGUAACACGUGGGUAACCUCCCAUCAGAGGGGAUAACACUUGGAAACAGGUGCUAAACCGAUACUGAUGGAUGGACCCGCGGUGCAUUAGCUAGUUGGUGAGGUAACGGCUCACCAAGGCCACGAUGCAUAGCCGACCUGAGAGGGUGUUCGGCCACACUGGGACUGAGAAACGGCCCAGACUCCUACGGGAGGCAGCAGUAGGGAAUCUUCGGCAAUGGACGAAAGUCUGACCGAGCAACGCCGCGUGAGUGAAGAAGGUUUUCGGAUUGUAAAGCACUUUAAGUUGGGAGGCGGUAUCUAACCAGAAAGCCACGGCUAACUACGUGCCAGCCGCCGCGGUAAUAC